AAUGAACGCUGGCGGCAGGCCUAACACAUGCAAGUCGAACGGAUCCUUCGGGAUUAGUGGCGGACGGGUGAGUAACGCGUGGGAACAUACCCUUUGGUACGGAAUAGCCUCGGGAAACUGGGAGUAAUACCGUAUGUGGUCGAGAGACGAAAGAUUUAUCGCCAAAGGAUUGGCCCGCGUUGGAUUAGAUAGAUGGCGGGGUAACGGGCCCACCAUGUCAGCGAUGGGUAGCCGAGCUGAGAGGCUGAUCGGCCACACUGGAACUGAGACACGGUCCAGACUCCUACGGGAGGCAGCAGUGGGGAAUAUUGGGCAAUGGGCGCAAGCCUGACCCAGCAACGCCGCGUGAGGGAAGAAGGCUUUCGGGUUGUAAACCUCUGUCCUUGGUGACGAAAAAAUGACGGUAGCCAAGGAGGAAGCCCCGGCUAACUACGUG
rnacentral:rRNA from 1 species